rnacentral:lncRNA from 1 species
AGCACAAUGACCAAGGUUCAGUGGGCGGGACCAAUUACAUUUUAACAUCAUAGUUUCAGUUUAUCUCAGCCAAUCAAAUAGUUUUGUGCUUCCACAGCAGCUCUGUCUCUGAUGUUUUCUGCUUCGUUUCUCUGUCUAUUCAAAUGAUAAUAUUUGUGAUUUUCUUGUUUUUCAUGGAUGUAAAACACAACAACAUUGUUUUCAGCUAGAAACUGAUUUGAAACAGAGAGAAAUCUUCGACAGCGGAACAGUUAAAGGUAAAUGCCCUCUGCCGGAACAACAACCGUGUGACACCAAGAAAGGAAAAGCGCGUGUGUGAACAGAGCCGAGAGUGUGGGACCGAAAGAGUCAGCUCAUCACUGUGGUGUUAGCGGCUUUGUACUGACUGCCCGAGCUCUCUGUAACACUUUACAUUCAUUAAUAAGAGAGAGAGAGAGGGAGGUGCGUUAACAGUCCCGCUCUGUCGGAGCUUUAUCACGUGACACCAGGCGGACGUAAACAAAAGAAAGGCGCUAAUGCCGUUAGCUUUCCUCUUGUGUGCCUGAGCAGAGACUCUUCUGUUGUGUUGUUUUAUGUGAGCUGUGGCAGUAACAAUGCCUUCAGUUCAGUAUCUGAGAGAGUUUAUCAACGAGCGACUAACUGCUGCUGCUGAACAAAUAUUCUUGGAGUUUGAAAAAACGAUCGUCCAGUACGAGGAAGAGAUCGACCGUCAGCGCAGACUGCUGGAUAUCACCUGGAAACCCGAAAUCAAGCUUCGGAGGAUAGAACUCCCACAGCAGCCUGUCUGUAAGGACGAGGUGGUUCUCCCUGAGCAGCAGCUCUGGAACCAGGAGAGGAACUCUCUGCACCAGGAGGAACCAGAACUUCCACAUAUUAAAGAAGAACAUGAGGAACACUUCACCAGUCAGGAGGGUGAGCAGGUUGGACUCAAGGAGGAGACUGAUACCUUUAUGGUGACUGCUGCUGAGGAAAGAGACCACCAUGACCCAGAAGCAAAAGUAACCAGCUCCCUUCUCAAACCUGUCCUAUAGAUGAGAGCCAAAAUCACAGAGGAAGCAGGAAUUUAGACUCAGGGACAAAUAGUAACUUAGAAAGUCAGAGUAAUUGUGACACAGGUAAAGAGUCUUUAUCAUGUAAUCUUUGUGGAAAAUCCUUUAAGAAUAAGUACAAAAUGAGUCAACAUCACAGAAUCCACACAGGUGAGAAGCCAUAUUCUUGUGAAACGUGUGGGAAAAAGUUUAGUCUGUCAUCAAAGCUUAAAAGCCAUAAGACUAUCCAUACAGGUGAGAAACCGUAUUCUUGUAAAAUAUGUGGCAAAAGUUUCACACGAAGCGAUUGUGACCAUACACAUGAGAAUGCACACAGGUGAGAGACCAUACCAUUGUAAAUCAUGCGGGAAAAUGUUCACAUCUAGCAGUCAUUUAUCGGCACACAGAAGAUCGCACACAGGUGAGAGACCGUAUCAUUGUAAAACAUGCGGGAAAAUGUUCACAUCUAGCAGUCAUGUAUGGCGCCACAUGAAAACGCACACGGGUGAGAAGUCGUAGUCUUGAAACAUUUAGAGAACAAUGUCUGAGAAGCCAAGCGUGAAAGAAGAUCUAAGAAUUUAUACAGGUUCACAGGAGAACUUUCAGAGUUUAAAUACCUUUAGGCUGUGUUCCGAAAUCAUUAUUUAUUGUUUUUGCUGUGCAUUAGAGGAUAGCUGAUGGCUGUUGCUGAUUUGGAUUUAGUGUCUUUUGAUGUAAAACUGGAUUUGAGCUAUUUGUUUUUUAAUAACAGAAAAAAUUGAAGAUUUUUGUUACAUUGGUAGCUGUUUAGUUUAUUUGGUUCAUAUAACUUUUGGUUAUUCCUUUCAUUAAGACUGACAUAAGUUUUUGUUUUUGCUUUUUUU